rnacentral:rRNA from 1 species
AUACGUAGGGUGCAAGCGUUAAUCGGAAUUACUGGGCGUAAAGCGUGCGCAGGCGGUUUUGUAAGACAGAGGUGAAAUCCCCGGGCUCAACCUUGGAACUGCCUUUUUGACUGGAAGGCUAGAGUACGGCAGAGGGGGAUGGAAUUCCGCGUGUAGCAGGGAAAUGCGUAGAUAUGCGGAGGAACACCGAUGGCGAAGGCAAUCCCCUGGGCCUGUACUGACGCUCAUGCACGAAAGCGUGGGGAGCAAACAGGAUUAGAUACCCUGGUAUUCCACGCCCUAAACGAUGUCAACUGGUUGUUGGGUCUUCAUUGACUCAGUAACGAAGCUAACGCGUGAAGUUGACCGCCUGGGGAGUACGGCCGCAAGGUUGAAUCUCAAAUGAAUUGACGGGG